rnacentral:rRNA from 1 species
GACGAACGCUGGCGGCGUGCCUAAUACAUGCAAGUAGAACGCUGAAGAGAGGAGCUUGCUCUUCUUGGAUGAGUUGCGAACGGGUGAGUAACGCGUAGGUAACCUGCCUUGUAGCGGGGGAUAACUAUUGGAAACGAUAGCUAAUACCGCAUAACAAUGGAUGACACAUGUCAUUAAUUUGAAAGGGGCAAUUGCUCCACUACAAGAUGGACCUGCGUUGUAUUAGCUAGUAGGUGAGGUAAUGGCUCACCUAGGCGACGAUACAUAGCCGACCUGAGAGGGUGAUCGGCCACACUGGGACUGAGACACGGCCCAGACUCCUACGGGAGGCAGCAGUAGGGAAUCUUCGGCAAUGGGGGCAACCCUGACCGAGCAACGCCGCGUGAGUGAAGAAGGUUUUCGGAUCGUAAAGCUCUGUUGUAAGUCAAGAACGGGUGUGAGAGUGGAAAGUUCACACUGUGACGGUAGCUUACCAGAAAGGGACGGCUAACUACGUG